AGGAAAUUUGGUGCUAAGUCUAGUGAGUUGGACAUGGCCAUUCGAUGGAGGCUCCCAAGAACAAUGAAGUCAGGCAUCUAUUCUUUCUCUCACUGUGACUGUGAUGACCUGGCCGAGGCAAACACUUUCAGGUUUUUUCCUACAGUUCUGUGGGCCUAAUUUCCCUCUAUAGAAUGGCAGAGCUAUACUACUACAAGACGCCUUAGGAUUUUUUUCUUCAAGAAGAUGGGAAGGAGUGAGUGGACAUUGAAGAGUUCUCAUCACAGAUCUAAAGAAGAAACAAACUGAAGAAAAUUCUGCACCUUUAGACUCAGUGUCAGGAGUACCCCAGAACAGAGAUCCCAUUAUGCUGAGUGGAGUGGGGCUUUGGGAUCACAGAUAUGAGACCUCUAAAUAAAUCUCAGGCAUUAAGAACUGCUUUGGAGACAGGCUGGACUUGGUCUGAUAAGUUAAUAUCUUCCACAAAAUUUAUGUUUUCUGCCUAAAUUUUUCGUUAUUCUUAUUCCCUAUUAAGACAGUUAACCAGCUCUACUUUCUAACCCCAGGGAAGGACUGUAGCAGGGUGAUUUGUACUCAGAGCUACUUGCCUCACAGACUGUAUGCAGGGAACAGAGGGAAAUGCAGUACAACAAGAGUGAGAAUGUAGAUCUUAAAUAAGAGUCUUCCAGACUGGGAGGGAGAGAGUAGAAGGCAAUGGAUGGGAUUCUCAGAAGCAGGAUCUGAAUCCUGGUACUGCCAAUGAAGUAGAGGUGAAAAAUCUUCAGAUACAAAUGCACACAAGGCUGCUGUAGGCAGGCAGGAUGGUAGCCUCACAGAUGUAGCAAAUAUGUCUAGAUCUAGAUCUCCACAAAUACAUAGUAAAAUAUGAUGUUUCCAGGUCUUCACCAAUGCUGUGCUUUCUGCUUG
rnacentral:lncRNA from 1 species